ensembl:lncRNA
UCAGAGAAUGUUGGUGUUUGAAGGAGAAUGUUGGUGUUUGAAGGAGAAUGUUGGUGUUUGGUAGGGUAUGUUGAUGUUUGAAGGAGAAUGUUGGUGUUUGGUAGGGUAUGUUGAUGUUUGAAGGAGAAUGGUGGUGUUUGGUAGGGUAUGUUGAUGUUUGAAGGAGAGUGAUGGUGUUUGGUAGGGAAUGUUGAUGUUUGAAGGAGAACGUUGGUGUUUGGUAGGGUAUGUUGAUGUUUGAAGGAGAACGUUGGUGUUUGGUAGGGUAUGUUGAUGUUUGAAGGAGAAUGUUGGUGUUUGGUAGGGUAUGUUGAUGUUUGAAGGAGAGUGAUGGUGUUUGGUAGGGUAUGUUGAUGUUUGAAGGAGAAUGUUGGUGUUUGAAGGAGAAUGUUGGUGUUUGGUAGGGUAUGUUGAUGUUUGAAGGAGAAUGUUGGUGUUUGAAGGAGAAUGUUGGUGUUUGAAGGAGAAUGUUGGUGUUUGAAGGAGAAUGUUGGUGUUUGGUAGGGUAUGUUGAUGUUUGAAGGAGAGUGAUGGUGUUUGGUAGGAUAUGUUGAUGUUUGAAGGAGAGUGUUGGUGUUUAGUAGGAUAUGUUGAUGUUUGAAGGAGAGUGAUGGUGUUUAGUAGAGUAUGUUGAUGUUUGAAGAAGAGUGAUGGUGUUUAGUAAGGAACAUGGGUGUUUGAAGGACAAUGUUGGUGUUUGGUAGGGAAUGUUGGUGUUUGAAGGAGAAUGCUGGUGUUUGGCAGGUGCUUGAUGGACAUACUGGUGUUUGAUAGAGAGUGAUGGUGUUUGAAGGAGAAUGCUGGUGUUUGAUGGAGAGUGAUGGUGUUUGUUAGGGUAUGUUGAUGUUUGAAGGAGAGUGAUGGUGUUUGGUAGGGUAUGUUGAGGUCUGAAGGAGAAUGCUGGUGUUUGAAGGAGAAUGCUGGUGUUUGAUGGAGAAUGCUGGUGUUUGUUAGGGUAUGUUGAUGUUUGAAGGAGAGUGAUGGUGUUUGGUAGGGAAUGUUGAUGUCUGAAGGAGAAUGUUGGUGUUUGGUAGGGUAUGUUGAAGUCUGAAGGAGAAUGCUGGUGUUUGAAGGAGAAUGCUGGUGUUUGAUGGAGAGUGAUGGUGUUUGUUAGGGUAUGUUGAAGUCUGAAGUAGAAUGCUGGUGUUUGAAGGAGAAUGUCGGCAUUUGAAGACGAAUGCUGGUGUUUGGCAGGUGCUUGAUGGACACACUGGUGUUUGAUGGAGAGUGAUGGUGUUCGUUAGGGUAUGCUGGUGUUUGAGAAUGUUGGUAUGGCUUAUUGUCGUAGUGAGCGCUCGUGGUGUUGGAUCACAGUGUUUGGAGCACAAUGUCGGUGUAUGUUAAUUCCUGUUUGUGUUAUCGUCUUUGUAAAUAGUUGUGGUGUUUGAUCAUGGUAUUUGUAAAACAAUGGUGGUGUGUGUUAACUGCUGUUUGUGUCAUCGUCUUAGUGAACGCCUGUGGCGUUUCAACACAGUGUUUGCUGGUCAGUGGUGCUAUGUGUAGUUUGUUCUUUGUGUUACUGUGUUAGUGAAUACUUCUGGUGUUUGAUCGUGGUGUUUGGUGGACAGUCGGGGUGUGUGUUAUUUACAGUUUGUGUUAUUGUCUUACUUCAUGGUGCUCAGUGGACAUCUGUAGUGCACGUUAAUUCGUCUGAGUGAGUGCUGGAGUCUGAUGGUGCUCGUUUCACACUUGUGUCAUGCUGAUUACUGCGCCCGCGGUUAUGAGGUUCUUGCGGAAACAAACACACGACGGUCUCCAGGACUUGCUGACCAAAGUGUAGAGCUGCACAGGAAACUAAAACCGCAGAGACCUUUAUAAAGAUCUCAACUCACUCGCGGUGUAAACGAAACUUUCA